CCCCCCCCUAUUGUUGGUACUACUCGUCCGGCCCUCCCUAUGUCUAUAUCCUGGCUCCGCCCCGCACCGACGCCUCGCUCGUGCCCACCGAGAUGGACUCGCUCAACGCCACCGUCAGGCUCACGGCCUUCCGCAACACCACACCUUCUUCGGGGGUGCACGUCUCCGCCGAUCCCGUCACGCUAUGCUACAGCUCCAGGCCUCCAGCUCACCUCCGGCAACGUAAAGCUUGCUGAUCCCUCCCCCUGCCUCGCCUCGCGCAUCCUUUCUUCAAUCUCUUUACACCAGCUAGCAAUAUGUUUGGUACUCCAUGUUUAUAUGAUCGAUCGAUCAAUGCGCGCCAUUUAUCUCAACAACGCGGUUGUCGUCGAUUCAGUCAAAUUGAUUCCCAAAGUCUAAUAAUCUGAGGAUGAGUACGUGCUUUACAAUUUGUCACUUCGAUGGUAUUAGUAGAAGCUAAGGACUGACCUAAGCAGAGUCGCUGUAGUACUACUAGCGAUUACUGAGUGCAAUGAACUGAGCUAGGACAAGCAUUGUAAAUACUGUAAAUUUGUCACUUUUAUGGCAAUCUUCGGGAUAUCUUGAGAGAUUUAUUUGAUGUUAGGAGCAGUUAAACCUCAAAAUUUAGCAUGUUGAGCUGAUUCAUGGCAAAAGGCUUCUUAUAUACGGGAUCAAUGUUUAAUUCUGCUUAUUUUAAGACAUGGGCACAAAACUUUGAGUAUAGCUUCAGCUUUACUCAAAGAUUUGUUUACUCAUAAGCCACAGCUCAGGGUACUACCUAGUUUAUUUAUAUGCCUAUGCAGGUUUUUUGCAGAUUACUAAUUCAGCAGUUUCUUGUCUCUUUCUCUUUGCAGCUUGAGGUUUGUGUCUCUUAGCUUAUCAGAAUUGGAAUUUCUUCUAUCAAAUAUGAAGGUUCCCUAUUUCCUUAUGUAUCAUGUGUGCAGGAUCACAGUUCUCAUAUUGCCUUGGAUAGAUCUACUGAUCGGAUAUACUUGUUGCAGUUUGGUCUUGAUCAGUCAGCUUUGGGGCGAUCGUGGGAGGGCUGCUUCUUCAUUGGCGAUCGCAGCCUGCGGAUGCGGCGGUCAUGGCAAGUUUCGCAGCCUUGGGGCGCGCUGCUUUGAUAGUCACUGUUUUGACAGAAAAUAUUGUACAGGACUUAAACUUACGUUUGAUGCUGUUUUCAAUAUAUAUAUAUAGAGAAGAGAGAGAGAGAGAGAGAGAGAGAGAGAGAGAGAGAGAGAAUUUUCAGUGAAAAAAGGCCCAGAUUAGUGGUCACUGCCUCACUGGCCAGCAAGGAGUGAACAACCCAGAAGAAGAAAAAGAAAGAAACUGAAGAAGCUGCAA